rnacentral:rRNA from 1 species
UAAGGAAUAUUGGUCAAUGGGCGGAAGCCUGAACCAGCCAUGCCGCGUGCAGGAAGACGGCCCUACGGGUUGUAAACUGCUUUUAUACUGGAAUAAACCUUUCUACGUGUAGGAAGCUGAAUGUACAGUAAGAAUAAGGAUCGGCUAACUCCGUGCCAGCAGCCGCGGUAAUACGGAGGAUCCGAGCGUUAUCCGGAUUUAUUGGGUUUAAAGGGUGCGUAGGCGGCCUAUUAAGUCAGGGGUGAAAGACGGUAGCUUAACUAUCGCAGUGCCUUUGAUACUGAUGGGCUUGAAUGUACUUGAGGUAGGCGGAAUGUGACAAGUAGCGGUGAAAUGCAUAGAUAUGUCACAGAACACCAAUUGCGAAGGCAGCUUACUAAAGUAUGAUUGACGCUGAGGCACGAAAGCGUGGGGAUCAAACA